CCCUUAGGCGUUCUGGGCCGCACGCGCGCUACACUGACGGAGCCAGCGAGCUUUUCCUUAACCGAGAGGUUUGGGUAAUCUUGUGAAACUCCGUCGUGCUGGGGAUAGAGCAUUGUAAUUAUUGCUCUUCAACGAGGAAUUCCUAGUAAGCGCAAGUCAUCAGCUUGCGUUGAUUACGUCCCUGCCCUUUGUACACACCGCCCGUCGCUCCUACCGAUUGAAUGCUCAGGUGAGCCAUUCGGACUUUCAUCAUGCUGGUUUCCAGUUUUGAUGAAGGAAAGUCUUGCGAACCUUAUCAUUUAGAGGAAGGAGAAGUCGUAACA
rnacentral:rRNA from 1 species